UUGUUUUUAUACGCCCGUCUAUGACGGGACGUAUUAUGGUAUACCCCGCGUCCGUCUGUCCGUCCGUCCGUCUGUCCGUCCGUAUGUCUGUUAAUGUCGUACGCUACGUCAAAUAUCCUUUGACAGAUUUUCUUCAAAUUUUAACACAAUCUUAAUAUUGAUAAACCCUGAUCCCCUUUCGUUUUUGACGGAAUUCUGAAUUGUCGUUCCAGAGUUAUGGGACUUUGUUCGUCAAAAUUUCGUGAUUUCAUUGAAUGUCCUACUGUAGCUAUAUAAAAAUGUUAAAGUUGUUAUAACUUUGGUAUGCUUGGACCUAGAGUCUUGAAACUUGACAUGAAGGUUGGCCAGAACUAGUAAGUAACCACUGGACAUUUCAAGGUCAUUCAUUUGAAGGUCAAGGUCACUGUGACCUUGAAUGUAAAAAUGUUAAAGUUCUUAUUUCAUGUUAUAACUUUGGUAUGCUUGUACCUAGAGUCUUCAAACUUGAAAUAAAGAUUGGCCAGUACUAGAAGAUGACCACUGGUCAUUUCAAUGUCAUUCAUUUGAAGGUCAAGGUCACUGUGACCUUAAAUGUUAAAAUGUUAAAAUUGUUAUAACUUUGGUAUGCUUGGACAUAGAGUCUUCAAACUUGACAUGAAGGUUUGCAAGCACACUUAGAUGACCACUGGUCAUUUCAAGGUCAUUCAUUCUAAGGUCAAGGUCACACAAGGUCACUGUGACCUUAAAUGUUAAAAUGUUAAAAUUGUUAUAACUUUGGUAUGCUUGGACAUAGAGUCUUCAAACUUGACAUGAAGGUUUGCAAGCACACUUAGAUGACCACUGGUCAUUUCAAGGUCAUUCAUUCUAAGGUCAAGGUCACUGUGACCUUAAAUGUUAUUGUUGUUCAUGUAUCCUACCGUAGCUCAAAUAUCCCCCGAUGGAUUUUUUAUACGCCCGUCUAUGACGGGACGUAUUAUGGUAUACCCCGCGUCCGUCUGUCCGUCCGUCCGUCCGUCCGUCCGUCUGUUAAUGUCGUACGCUACGUCAAAUAUCCUUUGACAGAUUUUCUUCAAAUUUUAACACAAUCUUAAUAUUGAUAAACCCUGAUCCCCUUUCGUUUUUGACGGAAUUCUGAAUUGUCGUUCCAGAGUUAUGGGACUUUGUUCGUCAAAAUUUCGUGAUUUCAUUGAAUGUCCUACUGUAGCUCAAAUAUCCUUCGAUGGAUUUUUUUCAAAUUUCAACACAAUCUUAAUAUUGAUAAACCCUGAUCCCCUUUCGUUUUUGACGGAAUUCUGAAUUGUCGUUCCAGAGUUAUGGGACUUUGUUCGUCAAAAUUUCGUGAUUUCCAUGCUCAUGUACUUAUAAAAUAAACCAUGUAUUCAAAUACAAAUAAACUGAAGUAAAAAAAUGA